GGAAAUAAGAGAAUUUCAAACUUUUCCUUCCUCUUUUGUUGUUAACUUCGGAGAAACGGAUCUUCCUUUUAUGUAUUGUGUAAAAUCAUUUGUUUAAAGAACUAUGAAAUUGGAAUCCAUCUUCUACAGUUCAACUAAACAUGUUUGAUGGGUUUUUUUCUGUCUAUAUCAUUUUACUACUAACUGUAGACAUAAAUAAAUAGCAUUGUUCCUGCCAAGUAAGUUAGAUGCGGAUUCCACAAACAUGGUCCGAGUACACAGUUAUCGUCCCUUGAUCGUCGUCCCUUGAUCGUUGUCGUUGUCCGAAUAUAGUCCCUAGUGUGGACAGUGUGUUACUUGUCAAUUUUGUUUAUACCCCUUCCAAAUUUAUUUAUUUAUAUUUUAUGCCUGAAAUAGCAAGAAGGGGGAUAAAAUUACACUGUAAAAAAAUUUGAUUCAUGAAUUAUAAUGUAAAGUAGUGAUUUG
rnacentral:lncRNA from 1 species